UGCGAUAUGGUGUAAAGGCUAACAUGUAUGACUCUGACUCAUAAGAUGUGGGUUCGAUUCCCACUAUCGCUG
rnacentral:tRNA from 2 species